rfam:Tilletiaria anomala TBC 951 K437scaffold_134, whole genome shotgun sequence.
GGGCUUCUAACUCAGUGGUAGAGUGCUUGCUUAGCAUGGGUUUACAAUCAAUACGAUUUCCCUUCGCUUGCAUGAAGUCCAGGGUUCAAUUCCCUGGAAGUCCA